UUGAAAAUAGCAUUUUAAUACCUUCCUGGCUGAAUGGUGGACCUGGAUGUGAUGGAUUUCUCCCCCCAUUCAUCCAUACACCUUGACGAUUUUCAGUUUUGAAUUCACUUGAAGGCAUUCUCCACUGUUCAUCACCUAAAAAUGGCCUCCGGCCAUCCACAAGGGAUGGCGAAGAAUAUGGAUGAUGGUAUGGAUGAGGAGGAGGAUGCUGAACCGG
rnacentral:misc_RNA from 1 species